rnacentral:lncRNA from 1 species
UGCUACCAGGGUGAUCCAAAGGGUGUAUCUAGGUAGCAUGUUUGUGGCCUCUUGCACUAACAUGAUUAAUGGUAGCUUCUAUUCCAUGACAUGAUUUUUGCAGCUGUAACAAUAUGUUUCAUGCAAGAGGACAUAAAUUUGCAUCCUAUUUUUCUGUCCAGUUAGUUCCAAAUUACAAAUGUUUGUGCUAUCACUGACAAUUUGGUGGAAAAAGAUGAGUCGUAUAUACACCCAGUGUAAGCUUUCACAUCAGCCGUUGCUCUUGAUUGUCUUUGCAAGUCCAUAGAUAUAAUUUCUUAUGAUUUUCCUUUACUCAUAGUAAGUACUGAAUAUUUUGUGCUUCAACCCUUUAGGUGUUAAUUUCUAUGAUGUGGCUAGCAAAGUUGGCAACAGGUACAGUAUAACGAUCAUGAUCUGCAGAGGGAUAUCACCUAGGUGCAUAAAUCAUAAUCAUUCAGUUUUUAUUUGGCAAGCUGGAGCUACCUGGAACUUUCAAUUUUGGUGCCAAGAUGGAUGGAUU